rnacentral:pre_miRNA from 1 species
UUUUUAGGAUAAGUAUGUCUCAGGCAAUCUUUGAGAUAUACUUGUACUAAAA